GGCGGAAAUGAUAGGCUAUUCUCUUUGAUCCAUCAAAGUAUGUUUUAUCCAAAGGAUUUAUUUAUCCUCAACCUUCUCCAAAGGGAAUGCUGACUGUUUUACAGGCUUCUGAGAAUGUCUUUGUGGAUAUUACUUUAUUUGGAAAACUUUCCACAUCCCACCGCCCCCCACCAAGAAUCCUAAAUUAUUAUAAAUAAUUGAAAUAAGGGCCAAAUCCUGUUUCCUCGUGAGGCCAUACUGUCAAAGUCAUGAUUUAUGAUUAUUCUUCCCCAGGGACAAGAUGCAUUCAUUUAAGUUAUAUGGCUUCACACCUGGCAUUAAAGACAGAGAGAGAAGAGCGCUAUUAUCACUUGAAUAUGGGAAACAAACCCUCAAAGGAAGAAGAAGCCACUUAGAAAGGCUUUCUUGCCUAACAAAACCAAUCCAGUUUGCUGUCAAUUGCUAAGAUUUUGGAGAAACACCUGAGAGCCACAUUUGAGAGAGUGGGUGCCAUGGAGCUGUGAACAGGAAGCACAAGAACACUAGGAAAUUUGAAGAAACAGCUCUCCUGACUGCUCUCUUGCCCUUGUGGUGACUUACCGGCCCUGGAGCCUAGCACUGUUCACCCAUCACCUUUAUGUGAUGGAAACGCUUGGCCUACCCAGGAUCGCAGAUCCAGAGGCUAGCCGAUCAAAGUGCGUUGCAUCGUGUGGGGCUGAUCAAUAUCGCGUUCCCACUAAGCUGUUUGCUUAGUUCAUCUUCAUUUCUGUGGGCGAGCCCCCUGUUCUUUCGCUGGGCUGAUUUCAGAGUGAGGCUCACCACUCAGAUGCAGCCAGGCCAAGAGCCAAGGAACAAGAUCAAACCCCUGUCCUGCAGCCAGUGGUGUUUGCAGGGCCCUCAGUGGUGGAGCAGGAGCAGGCCUGCCUCAGGGCUUUGCUCAGACUGCACAGUGUUUAAUGUGCCAAGAGCCCUGGCGUGCAGGCAACAUACCCUGCUGACCCCACCAUCACCUCGCCAGAACUCACAGGGUCUCACUCAGGGGAAACUCUUGGUUGGUUUUCUCUCCCUCAGUUCAUUCAGUGGAAAAACAGCUCUACUCUAAAAAGUUGGGCUGAAACCCAGCUGUCAAACAGAAGUCUCUUCCAGAAAGCCGCCCAAUGUUAGGCCACCAAAUACCAGGCCCUGUGCACCUAUUGCUGUGCCCUCCCCACACCUGGAGAAAGAGCCAGGCCAGCAGGCUGCCCAUACCUGGCCAUGAACUUGUCACCCUGUGACAGUGAACCUGAGCGCCCUCUGCACCAACUCCCCAGACUUCUUCAGCCUGAACAUUUCAAGAAGCAAAGAUAAUUAUGUAAAUAUCCCCAUUGAUUCUGAGGAAUCCCAACCAACUUUGUUCCAGAAUAAUGAGUCCUGGGAAGCUUGAUCUUGCUUUUAUAUGUUGUCGGCAGUGGCCAUGGCAUUCCUUCCACCCCACAUGACAGCACGAGAUCCAAAUUACCUGAGCUCCUUUCCUGACCCUAUUUAGCUGUGUACUCCUUAUUAUUUAGCUGUGUGCUACCUUUUCUGCACCUCCUCAAAUCUGUAAAGGAGGAAUUAAAGUAGUAGUUCUCCCCUAGGGCGAUUCUAAGGAUGGAUAGAGUUAAAACAGGGUACCAUACAGCCCAUAGUAAGUGCGCAAUAAAUGUUAGCUGUUGAUUCUGAUUUGGGGGGUGGGGUUAGCAUAAUCUAUAACCUAAUUUGUAAAAGACAAAAGCAGUUGUUUUCAGUUCAGUGACAGACAUCCAAUUAAUUACAGGUUACAGACUUCUUAUUAACCCGUUCAUCUGGCUGAAUUUCAUCUUUUCUGGUAUCUCGUUCAGUCCUACAAGGAUACAACAAUGCAGUUGAGUGGAUCCAGCCAGCCAGGCUAUUUUUUUCAUGAAGAGAGGCAGGAAAUGACAGAUGGGAAAUACUGUGUUGUCAUCAGAGACUCUGGUUUACCACUAGGGUGGGACCUGUGGCAAAUGAUUCACUAAUAAGUAGGAAACAUCAUCAUUCUACCAAUCUCGCAGGUUGAGUGUAAUAAACAAAAUUUUUAAACAUGAUGAUAUGAACUCUAGGAUACCUGGCAAACCUAGGGAACUGUUACCAUCUUCGAAGCAUGUUCCUUGCCCACAAGGAGUUUGUCUGCUUCCUCCUUGCUUUGGUGAAGCUGUCAUCAACACCCAACGUCUUGAGAGGGUCCUCCUUGCCAGCACGGCCUCCUGGAAACCCCACAACAUGAUAUUAGAAAGGGUUACAUGAGAGCCCUUCUGUAAAGCAGCUCACAAACCACAGAACAGCUUCCUGCAAUGUGCGGUCCCUUCCCUAAUUCCCUCCACCCCCACCUGUUCCCCGAUGCAGGCAGAGGAAUGGCACAGAAUCUGGGGUGCAAGGAUUUUGAGAAGAAAAGGGCACUGCCAAGGAUUAAGUCACUUUAGUUGCAGUAAAUAUUGCCUGGGUGCUCACGGGUGAAAGAGUAGAGGGAGAAAUUCAGAGAUACCAUGAACUUAAGGGUACCACUGAGGUCUGUGUAUCUAAACCUCUUAAUCCAAAGGAACCGUUGUUAACCAUGAGUCUAGCUGUUUGAUCUGGACUCAAGUAAUCUUUCUCUCCCUCUUUUUUUUUUUUUUUUUUUUUUUUUUUAAACUGGUUACAAGUUAUUGAGAGCCUACCAGGAGCUGGGAACCAGACAAGCUAAACUCUUUGUAUAUGUUAUUUCUCAUCCUCCCACUUGCACUUGUUACUUCUCGUCCUUGGCGUAGAGAUGAAGAAAGAGGCAUGGGGAAGUUCCAUAGCUUGUCCAGGCUCACACAGGUGGUGAGUGGCAGAGAUGGAUUCAGACCUUGAGCACAGAAACCCAUGCCCUUCCCCCAUGCCACAAAGCCGUCCCUGGGGACAGCUGGUGUUGGACCCAAAAAAUCUUAAUGAACACCUGGUGGGGUUCUUGCCCCUGGGAUCAGGUUGCAACCCCCACCUCUAAAUGAACCCAACACUAAAGGCAGGAUAAGUAAGCAGAAAUAAUAUCCUAGGAAAGCCCAUUGGAGGAAAAAAAAAAAUGCAAAUUCUCAAACUAUCACUUAAAACCCGACCAGAUAUAAAACAAAAACGUUCUGCCUGGUAACACAGAUUAAUAAAAUAAUUAAGCCGUGUUAGACAGGUAAUGUUUUCGUCAAUUGAGUGCGGGUAAAGCACUCAGGCACGGAGAGCAACUUCUGCUCAGAGACUGUGCACAUUCGCAUCUUACGCGCUUUUAAAAACGUAUCUUAUUUUCAAUUCAAAACCUCAAUGUCACAUACAACCGCAUUUGAUGUAAAGUUAUUCCUGUUCCGUAUGCAAAGAGAAGCCAAACGCUGGGGUUUGGCAGAGGUUUGGAUGGAGGUCGAGGGCAAUCCUUGAAAGUAGCCAAGUAGGUCCAGCUUGAAAUAUUCGUUGUUUGUUUCCCCACACUUGAUGCAUUUUACCCCUGUUAAUCUACACGGAAAUCUCACUUGGAAUUUAACAGCAAUCUAUACCCAACCAUCAAAUAUUUAGUGUCUGUUUAGGAAAAGAAAUCGGUAGAACUCUCAGCUACUAUUUGUUCUGUUUGAUUAAUGUUUACCAAGUGGAAGUUUGGGAACAAAAACACUACGUCCGUGUUCCCGCCUUCCUCCUCUUAGCUCCUCCCCCGCCUUAUCUCCUCCUGAGGCUCCUUUGCAUCGUCCUUUGAAAGUGCAACACAAUGAAUGUUUCCUUGAAUUAAAUCUUGAUUUCUGUGAAGACUUUGCAUUUCCCCUGGACGGCAGAUGUAUCCUUCUCAAAAUUCACUCUAGAUAAACAAAUAGUAUGCCCACUUCUCAUUACCUAUUUGCCUUCUCUACAGGUUCCCUAACUAUAACUAGUCAGUUACAGCCAAGGGCGGCAUUCUCCUGUUCUGGCUGCUUUCCCAUUGCAUGACUUCAGGGGAAUCCUUUCAUCUCUGGGGCAGCACAGUGCUUCAUGUGAGCCAUAGGUUCAGGGUUUGAUGAGUGACUUAAUGAGCAUCCUCAUACGAACAGGGAGGAUAGUAGAAUCCACCCCACCCACCGAACAGCUGUUUCAAUGAUUAAACAAGUCAUAGUCUACAGAAACCUUUUUAAAAUAGUAAAAUGCCAUAUAAACCGACAUUCUUAUUAAUACUGCCAGCUUUUGAAUAGUGCAUGGUAAGAAAUGUUUGAAAGGAAUUGAAGAGUAGGAAAUACCUGUAGGCCAAUAAAAUUUUGCAGAGCUUAGAUAACCUUGUUCUGGAAAAUGAAUUAAAUGGUAGUGUCGUUUCCUUAAAACCUGAGUUGAAAAACUGAAAACAAAGCAAUGUGCUUUACUUUCCCCUUUUACUUCGGACUCAGGGCCCAGCUCUCUUAACCAAAUUGUUUUCCUAAUUAAAAUUAGUUUUUCAAGGAUAGAAUUUUAUAGGCUAAUGCUUAAAAGGCAUCAGCAUAACCAGUUCUCAACAGGAAAGGAUUCUGCUCUGUGUGAACCACGAAUGACACCUGAUUUACUAUGAUCGGCCAUCCAAGGAUGUCAGAAAAAUUAAGAAUAACUUGUAUGACUGAAUUGAAAGCCCUCAUUCUAUUUCUGGAAGCAAACUUGAGCAUUUCCUUUUGCAAUAACCGUCUUGAUUAUCUUGACUUGGGCAAGGUGACAGCAGCAGAGAGAUUUCAGGACUGGACAAACUAGGGGACCAUGAAGCAAGGCACUUCCUAUUCUGACAAGGAAAUGAUAUUUCUCUGCCUCGAUUUCGGACCUUGAUAUGAAUCUGAUUUUGAUUCUUCUAAAAGAAAGGGCUGUAGUCUUAACUGCAAAAUCAGUUCCUUCCUCAAAAAUGGUUAGGCACUAGGAUAUUCAUGUGUUUUGUCUUUUCUCUGAAUAUUAAUUGAAUGGUAUCUAUGAGGAACAGGAUUUAAGACCCAGUAGCAGUCGAUCAAAAGUACUGAACAUUCCCUAAGUUCAUCU
rnacentral:lncRNA from 1 species